GUUCAGAGAGGGGUCAAUGUCCUAUCAGCUAGUUGGGAGGGUAAUGGCCUACCAAGGCGAAGACGGGUAGCCGGCCUGAGAGGGUGGUCGGCCACAUUGGGACUGAGACACUGCCCAGACUCCUACGGGAGGCUGCAGUCGAGUAUCUUUCGCAAUGCCCGAAAGGGUGACGAAGCGACGCCGCGUGUGGGAAGAAGGCCUUCGGGUUGUAAACCACUGUCAGGAGUUAAGAAGUGCAAGGGUGCGAAUAGCGCCUUUGCUUGACUAAGGCUCCAGAGGAAGCCACGGCUAACUCUGUGCCAGCAGCCGCGGUAAUACAGAGGUGGCAAGCGUUGUUCGGAAUUAUUGGGCGUAAAGAGCACGUAGGCGGUUCUGCAAGUCGGCUGUGAAAGCCUUCCGCUCAACGGAAGAACAGCAGUUGAUACUAC
rnacentral:rRNA from 1 species